UACGGGGGGGGCAAGCGUUGUUCGGAAUUACUGGGCGUAAAGGGCUCGUAGGCGGCCAACUAAGUCGGACGUGAAAUCCCUCAGCCUAACUGGGGAACUGCGUCUGAUACUGGAUGGCUUGGAUUCGGGAGAGGGAUGCGGAAUUCCAGGUGUAGCGGUGAAAUGCGUAGAUAUCUGGAGGAACACCGGUGGCGAAGGCGGCAUCCUGGACCGAUAUUGACGCUGAGGAGCGAAAGCCAGGGGAGCAAACGGG
rnacentral:rRNA from 1 species